rnacentral:rRNA from 1 species
UACAGAGGUCUCAAGCGUUGUUCGGAUUCAUUGGGCGUAAAGGGUGCGUAGGUGGCGCCGUAAGUCAGGUGUGAAAUUUCGGAGCUUAACUCCGAAACUGCAUUUGAUACUGCGGUGCUUGAGGACUGGGGAGGAGACUGGAAUUUACGGUGUAGCAGUGAAAUGCGUAGAGAUCGUAAGGAAGACCAGUGGCGAAGGCGGGUCUCUGGACAGUUCCUGACACUGAGGCACGAAGGCCAGGGGAGCAAACGGG